GGAGGGGGCUAGCGUUGUUCGGAAUUACUGGGCGUAAAGGGCGCGUAGGCGGUAUGCCAUGUCAGGGGUGAAAGGCCUGGGCUCAACCCAGGAACUGCCUUUGAAACUGGCAAACUAGAGUCCGAUAGAGGAUGGCGGAAUUCCCAGUGUAGAGGUGAAAUUCGUAGAUAUUGGGAAGAACACCAGUGGCGAAGGCGGCUAUCUGGAUCGGCACUGACGCUGAGGCGCGAAAGCGUGGGGAGCAAACAGGGAUUAGAUACCCUGGUAGUCCACGCCGUAAACGAUGUGUGCUAGACGUUGGGGGCCUUAGGCCCCUGGGUGUCGCAGCUAACGCAUUAAGCACACCGCCUGGGGAGUACGGCCGCAAGGUUAA
rnacentral:rRNA from 1 species